GAAAAAGACAAGAAAAUACACCUUUUACCAUGGUGGUGAAAUUAUUAUAUUUGUAUUGUUUGAAAGUAGUAAAUAACAUUUGGAUCUAAAAUAUUUAAUCACAAAAGACAGAGCACAAUUAAGAGUUUCAACUAGAUAUUUUGCCUUUCCUGUUACUAUUUAAUUACUUAUUUUAUUCCUUUUUUUUUUUUGCUAAUUGUAAGACUCAUUUUUAUUCAACUUUGGCCAAAUAUUGCUGUAUUUAGUUUUAAGUGAGCUCUGUGUUGUCUUUUAUUUUGGAAAGGGUUGAUUGCACUUUAAGGCGGAAGUUCCCUUGUACGGAAAUGGCUCUUAUAGCAAAACAGAGACUUGACGAAGGACGAAGUUAAACGUAAUUCAGCGUUGUGCCUCAGAUACUGAGAAGAAAAACGAAAAAAAACUACAAUUAAACUAAAGAAAGAACACAUUGCGAAGGGUGAAACGACAUUAAAUGUUCGACCAUGACGCUACAUUAUGUUGACCGACUGUCCAGCCUCGUUAAUGAACGGCUCCAGGUGAACGCAACAAACAGGUGUUGUCCUCCAAAAGUUUCCUGUCACCCCGACAGCUGCAGUUGACCCUUCCCUCGGAGGUCAGCAGGCACAGAUCCUGACAUCCUCCAUUGUUAACGCGGCAGAGGGAGAACUCACCUACGAAGAGAAACCCCAGGGCAGUCGAGAGGCAGCCAAGAUGGAGGAACACAAAGUUCUGUAGCAGCAGAUAGACAACAGCUGCUGCUCUAAACACAAAGUCCUUCUUUAGUGGGGAGUUUUUUUUUUUUAAACCCAACUGUGUGUCAGAUGUCCUCAGCUCAUAAUAAUUAUCAAAUGUACCCUAACAGUGUACUGCAUUCCAUCUUUCUGCACUGUAGAUGAUCUCACUGUUAUCACAAUUCUGUCCCGAGGAUUGGUGAGAUUCACCACCAGGUGGGACACUUAACACUCCACUUACAGUGAAAUGCCAGGAGCAUGAAUCAACAUUUGUUCAGUCCAUGCUAUAAGAAUUUAAAUGAGGCAGAGCUGCUGGAAAGUCACGCAGAGGCAGCAACUCCCUUUUGUCCCUCGCGGUCAUAAAUCAAUGCCCUUAAAAAUCAAUAGAAGGCUUCGUCAAAUCCAUUCUCCUUUAUUUCCUAUUUUCACUGUACUGUUAAUGAACAAUAAAUCUUUGGCCCGGCGCA